rnacentral:rRNA from 1 species
AGAGUUUGAUCCUGGCUCAGGAUGAACGCUGGCGGCGCGCCUAACACAUGCAAGUCGAACGGACGAUGAAGAGCUUGCUUUUCAAAGUUAGUGGCGGACGGGUGAGUAACGCGUGGGUAACCUGCCUCAUACAGGGGAAUAGCAGCUGGAAACGGCUGAUAAAACCGCAUAAGCGCACAGUGCCGCAUGGCACAGUGUGAAAAACUCCGGUGGUAUGAGAUGGACCCGCGUCUGAUUAGCUGGUUGGCGGGGUAACGGCCCACCAAGGCGACGAUCAGUAGCCGGCCUGAGAGGGUGAUCGGCCACAUUGGGACUGAGACACGGCCCAAACUCCUACGGGAGGCAGCAGUGGGGAAUAUUGCACAAUGGGGGAAACCCUGAUGCAGCGACGCCGCGUGAAGGAAGAAGUAUCUCGGUAUGUAAACUUCUAUCAGCAGGGAAGAUAAUGACGGUACCUGACUAAGAAGCCCCGGCUAACUACGUGCCAGCAGCCGCGGUAAUACGUAGGUGGCAAGCGUUGUCCGGAAUUACUGGGUGUAAAGGGAGCGCAGGCGGGUGAUCAAGUCAGCUGUGAAAACUACGGGCUUAACCCGUAGACUGCAGUUGAAACUGUUCAUCUUGAGUGAAGUAGAGGUUGGCGGAAUUCCGAGUGUAGCGGUGAAAUGCGUAGAUAUUCGGAGGAACACCGGUGGCGAAGGCGGCCAACUGGGCUUUAACUGACGCUGAGGCUCGAAAGUGUGGGGAGCAAACAGGAUUAGAUACCCUGGUAGUCCACACUGUAAACGAUGAUUGCUAGGUGUGGGGGGUCUGACCCCUUCCGUGCCGGAGCUAACGCAAUAAGCAAUCCACCUGGGGAGUACGACCGCAAGGUUGAAACUCAAAGGAAUUGACGGGGACCCGCACAAGCAGUGGAUUAUGUGGUUUAAUUCGAAGCAACGCGAAGAACCUUACCAGCACUUGUCAUCCAACUAACGAAAUAGAGAUAUAUUAGGUGCCCUUCGGGGAAAGUUGAGACAGGUGGUGCAUGGUUGUCGUCAGCUCGUGUCGUGAGAUGUUGGGUUGAGUCCCGCAACGAGCGCAACCCUCGCCAUUAGUUGCUACGCAAGAGCACUCUAAUGGGACCGCUACCGACAAGGUGGAGGAAGGUGGGGACGACGUCAAAUCAUCAUGCCCCUUAUGUGCUGGGCUACACACGUAAUACAAUGGCCAUCAACAGAGAGAAGCAAUACCGCGAGGU